AGAGUUUGAUCCUGGCUCAGAUUGAACGCUGGCGGCAUGCCUUACACAUGCAAGUCGAACGGCAGCACGGGUGCUUGCACCUGGUGGCGAGUGGCGAACGGGUGAGUAAAGCAUCGGAACGUACCCGGAAGUGGGGGAUAACUGUCCGAAAGGACAGCUAAUACCGCAUAUUCUGUGAGCAGGAAAGCGGGGGCUCGCAAGACCUCGCGCUUCCGGAGCGGCCGAUGUCGGAUUAGCUAGUUGGUGGGGUAAAGGCCUACCAAGGCGACGAUCCGUAGCGGGUCUGAGAGGAUGAUCCGCCACACUGGGACUGAGACACGGCCCAGACUCCUACGGGAGGCAGCAGUGGGGAAUUUUGGACAAUGGGCGCAAGCCUGAUCCAGCCAUGCCGCGUGAGUGAAGAAGGCCUUCGGGUUGUAAAGCUCUUUCGGCCGGGAAGAAAUCGCAUCUCCUAAUACGGGGUGUGGAUGACGGUACCGGCAUAAGAAGCACCGGCUAACUACGUGCCAGCAGCCGCGGUAAUACGUAGGGUGCGAGCGUUAAUCGGAAUUACUGGGCGUAAAGCGUGCGCAGGCGGUUUCGUAAGACAGACGUGAAAUCCCCGGGCUCAACCUGGGAACUGCGUUUGUGACUGCGAGGCUAGGGUAUGGCAGAGGGGGGUGGAAUUCCACGUGUAGCAGUGAAAUGCGUAGAGAUGUGGAGGAACACCGAUGGCGAANGCAGCCCCCUGGGCCAAUACUGACGCUCAUGCACGAAAGCGUGGGGAGCAAACAGGAUUAGAUACC
rnacentral:rRNA from 1 species